rnacentral:rRNA from 1 species
UACGUAGGGGGCAAGCGUUGUCCGGAUUUACUGGGCGUAAAGGGCGCGUAGGCGGCGUGGUAAGUCACUUGUGAAAUCUCUGAGCUUAACUCAGAACGGCCAAGUGAUACUGCUGUGCUAGAGUGCAGAAGGGGCAAUCGGAAUUCUUGGUGUAGCGGUGAAAUGCGUAGAUAUCAAGAGGAACACCUGAGGUGAAGACGGGGUUGCUGGGCUGACACUGACGCUGAGGCGCGAAAGCCAGGGGAGCAAACGGG